rnacentral:rRNA from 1 species
AGGAUUAACGCUGGCGGCGUGCAUGAAACAUGCAAGUCGAGCGCGGCGCGUGGCUUCGGUCACGCGUCUAGCGGCGCACGGGUGAGUAACACGUGAGCAACCUACCUUCGAGUUCGGGAUAGCCCUGGGAAACCAGGAUUAAUACCGGAUGUGGUCACAACGGGACAUCCCGACGUGAAAAAGGCGCAAGCCGCUCGAUGACGGGCUCGCGGCCUAUUAGCUUGGUUGGUGGGGUAACGGCCUACCAAGGCGACGAUGGGUAGC